UGCUCACCAAAGCAAACCUCUUUUUGUGUGUAUUCAGUGUCUUAACUAUGUAAAAGACAACUAUAACAGGGUGUACAGUGCUGUUUCUGAAAUUGACGAAUCCUCUUGUGAUGAAGAUUGAAGAAGCUAUUGCCAUCCAAGUGGAAAAAGUCCCGCCUUUGUCACCCUCCUCGAAUAGAACUAAGAAAAUGUGGAGACUUUCUUCAUUUAGUUCCAAAUCAAGUGGACCAGAUGUUGAUUUGUUUGAAAUGGACUGAGACUUGUGUUUCAUAUGCCAGGUUGAACAGACGUUAGAAACGAAAAAGGAUAGUCUGAUUCAAGGAAAAGAUAAUAGUUUCUUCGUCGAUUUCGCAACAUACUAUCUGUGGACUUCUACAGAAAUCGUCAGGAUCUGUGCAACAUCGAUGUUAAUCCUGAUUCGCACAUGAACAAGUGCCCUGUUCUUAACCCUGAGAGUCUCGGAAAAUAUCUCUAUAGCAAGCUAGGUAGAUAUCACAAAACAUGUCGUUUGAGGUACAGCAACUCGAGGGUGAAACAAUUGAAGGGUAAAUUAUCUGAAGCUGUAAGU